AAACAUGCUACUUAAAGACAGACAUGAGAGAAAAUUACUCCAUGGUUACCGUAUGUUUUGUUCGUGGCAUUUCAUCCGUGAUUUAAGUGUAAAGUCAGCUAUCAGAAUAACUCUAAGAAUGGCGUUGAUUUUUUUCCGCAUGAGCAGCAACUUAGAGCCUCCAUUGCUUCUACCUUUUAUGCAAAUGUUGGAAUAGAGGAAGAUGAUAUCUUCGUCUCUGAUGGUGCCAAAAGUGAUAUAUCUAGGCUUCAGGUUUGGUUUUCUCUUUAUCAAGUGGUCUUUUCAAAUUAUAGCUGCUGUCUUUUGAUGAGAUCUUCGUCUCUGAUGGGGCCAAAAGUGAUAUAUCUCGGCUUCAGGUU
rnacentral:lncRNA from 1 species